rnacentral:rRNA from 1 species
GGCGGCGUGCCUAACACAUGCAAGUCGAGCGAAGCACUUUGCUUAGAUUCUUCGGAUGAAGAGGAUUGUGACUGAGCGGCGGACGGGUGAGUAACGCGUGGGUAACCUGCCUCAUACAGGGGGAUAACAGUUAGAAAUGACUGCUAAUACCGCAUAAGACCACAGCACCGCAUGGUGCGGGGGUAAAAACUCCGGUGGUAUGAGAUGGACCCGCGUCUGAUUAGCUAGUUGGUAAGGUAACGGCUUACCAAGGCGACGAUCAGUAGCCGACCUGAGAGGGUGACCGGCCACAUUGGGACUGAGACACGGCCCAAACUCCUACGGGAGGCAGCAGUGGGGAAUAUUGCACAAUGGGGGAAACCCUGAUGCAGCGACGCCGCGUGAGCGAAGAAGUAUUUCGGUAUGUAAAGCUCUAUCAGCAGGGAAGAAAAUGACGGUACCUGACUAAGAAGCACCGGCUAAAUACGUGCCAGCAGCCGCGGUAAUACGUAUGGUGCAAGCGUUAUCCGGAUUUACUGGGUGUAAAGGGAGCGUAGACGGAUGGGCAAGUCUGAUGUGAAAACCCGGGGCUCAACCCCGGGACUGCAUUGGAAACUGUUCAUCUAGAGUGCUGGAGAGGUAAGUGGAAUUCCUAGUGUAGCGGUGAAAUGCGUAGAUAUUAGGAGGAACACCAGUGGCGAAGGCGGCUUACUGGACAGUAACUGACGUUGAGGCUCGAAAGCGUGGGGAGCA